GGAUUAGAUACCCUAUUAUUUGUAAUGUUAAUGUUUUGCUUUAGUAUUAAUGGUUAAGGUCCUUAAACUUAAAGAAUUUGGCGGUAUUUCAGUCUUUUUAGAGGAAUCUGUCUUUUAAUCGAUAAUCCGCGUGGUACCUUACUUAAUUUUUGUUUAUAUACCGCCGUAUUUGAAUAUCUUUUAAGUGUUUUAAUUUUCUUUAAUUUUUAUUGGAUUUUAUUUCAGGUCAAGGUUUAAUUUAUAAUUAAGUGAUGAUGGAUUACAUUCUUUUUAUUGAUACGGAUUAUUAGUUGUAAUUUUAAGUAUGAAGGUGGAUUUAAUGGUAAUUUUGUUUAAGAAUAUUUAGGUGAAUAAAGGUGGGCUCUGGAAUAUGUACAUAUCGCCCGUCACUCUCGUUUUAAGAUGAGAUAAGUC
rnacentral:rRNA from 1 species